rnacentral:rRNA from 1 species
CGGUGAAAUUGUAAUUCCGGUGAAGAUGCCGGAUACCUGCGACAGGACGGAAAGACCCCAUGGAGCUUUACUGUAGCUUGACAUUGGGUCUUGGUACUACAUGUACAGGAUAGGUGGGAGGCUUUGAAACCAGGACGCCAGUUUUGGCGGAGCCAUCCUUGGGAUACCACCCUUGUAGUACUGGGACUCUAACCAUAGGCCAUGAAUCUGGUCUUGGGACACUGUCAGGUGGGCAGUUUGACUGGGGCGGUCGCCUCCCAAAAGGUAACGG